rnacentral:miRNA from 1 species
CAUGGGGACACAGACACUUAAGGACACUGGGAGACAUGGGGACACUGAGACACUAGGGACACAAUGUCCCCAAGUGUCUCAGUGUCCCCAUGUCUCCCUGUGUCUCAGUGUCCCUAGUGUCUCAGUGUUCCCAUGUCUCCCAGUGUCCCUAGUGUCUGUGUGCCCAUGU